rnacentral:tRNA from 1 species
GCCCUCUUCGUCUAGCGGCCAAGGACACCGGCUUCUCAGGUCGGAAACGCAGAUUCGAAUUCUGCAGGGGACA